GCGGGGGCCGCGUGUCCUGCGGCGGGGGCAGCGCUGAGGGGCAGCAGAGAGAGGAUCCUGGGGGGAAUCAGGAGACCUGACUCUGCCUUUGUCACACCUGAGACAAGUCUCUCGGCGACUCUGGGAGCCUGUGUUUCCUCUUUUGCACAUAAAGCGAUUCAAGAGAGGAUUUUCAGAGCUGCUCACCAGAUUUGAAAUAAUAUGUGCAAGCUGUACCCCAAGGGCAGCUGAAAGGAAAGAGAGGGUUUCGCAUGCCCAAUUGGAAGUUCAGGGAAACUGCUUGGAGACUUGGGAAGAGUUAAAUUUAUCUUAGUUAAUAACAUGGAAAGUAAGUCCUACAGAGAAAAUCAAAGGUGUACAAUUCUAGAAUGGAUCUUCACAUCAUUCUACCUUAAAGGUAAGGAAGGUGAGGCCACAAUAACUUGUAGUAGCUCUCAUUGAAGUCACUUCAAUGACUUAGUGAAAUACAUGCAGCAUUUUACAGGCUAAUGGGCUUCCAAGGUGCAAACCCACUUGAGAGCCUCUUUCUCUUUCUCUUCCUUCAGUGUCCUUAGGCCAUGGGCAAUGCAUUCCCCAAUCACCAAAGACUAAAACUGAAACCCUACCGAACCUACCAAGAAAGUACAGAGCACAGGGCCAGUUUACCUCUGAAUCCUACAUUGCAAG